rnacentral:lncRNA from 1 species
UUUUUUUUUUUUUUUUUUUUUGGUCUUUCUGUUUUUUUCUUGGGCCGAACUUGCAGCAUAUGAAGGUUCCCAGGCUAGGAGUCUAAUCAGAGCUGUAUCUGCAGGCCUAUGCCACAACCACAGCAACAUGGGAUCUGAGCCAUGUCUGCGACCUACACCACAGGUCAUGGCAACGCCAGAUCCUUAACCCACUGAGCGAGGCCACGGAUCGGAGCCACAACUUCAUGGUUCCUAGUCGGAUUUAUUAACCACUGAGCCACGACGGGAACUCCACUGAUAGGAUUUUUAAAGUAGAAGAGACUUGAGAGUGUUUAUACGCUAAAGAUACAGAACAAUGGAGAGGGGAAAAUUGAAGAUGAGGAGGAGAGGAGAAAAUUGAUGGAAUGAGGUUGUCAAGGAAAUGAGUGAGUAAGAGAUUAAGAGCCCAAUUAUGCAUUUGGGCACAGAAAACAAGUGAAAUGGCCCUUCCUCUGAAGCUUAGGGUCAGAUGGCAGUAUAGAUAUAAUUCCUAUCUCAGCUACUUUGAUAAACAUGACUGGGGAGCGCCUAAGUAGGGUCUUGAGAAUAGCAGUGAAUCGUGGAUCAGCUUCUCUGCAAAUCAAGAGAACAAGGCUGUAAGAUUACAGGCAAUAUCAAUAAUCCACUGGCAGUUAAAGACUAUGAAAAUAUAAUAGCACAAAUCUCAUUCACUGUAUGGUUUUUCUCCCGUAGUUCUCAGCAGAGUAUAUAUUAGGUUCAGAGUUGUCUCCCCCCCCGCCCAGGGAAGAUAUGGCAGAACAAUAAAAUAAAACCAGGAAGAUGAUAAGGAGUGAGAAAGUGGAAAUUAUGAUUCUGAAAUUAUCAUUUGUCUAGAACUGUAAGCCCUAGAACAGAGGUGAAAGUUCUUGGAGUUAGGAGUUAAAGGAAUUGAGAUUAGAUGUGAGUUGCUAUGGAAUGAAGCCUGAAACUAAGGCUCAGUAGGAUGUGCUGCCUUGACAUCUGGUAAAAUAAGAAGGGCCUCAAAUACCCUAAUCACAAGCUUCCCUCACCUCCACUCUGGUCUCAGAGGUAAGACCCCCUUAAUCUAACAGCCCUCCUUAUCAAGAGACCUGAGGUAGUUUCUGCUUAUGCCUGAGUAGUGGAUUCAGUUCCCUGCCAUCCCAUAGAAUAUUCCAGCAAGCCAGUCAUCCUCCCAUGAGAAACAGGGGGAACCUACCCUCUUGGUACUAUAAAUCCUGCCUCUCACUGCCCCUGGUUGUUCACUCUAUUCCCAGGCACAACCCCUCGUGGCCCAGCAUGGCUUAUGGUGUCCUCCCCUCCUGAGCUGUGAGUGUUAUGAGUAUCAUGUGAGCUUUGGGUACCAUAUGUGUAGUUAUCCUGAUAACUCCAGGCAGGAAUACCCCCCCCCAACAGGGUGAAGAGGAGGUGAUUAAAACAGCUGAGUGUGUUUCCACCUGGACAAGAUGAUACCUGGUGGGUGGAAGCAAUGUUUUCCUCUGAAGGAAAUGAAUGUUCCCACUGUCAGUCAUCCUGCAGAGUGAAUAAUCAUGGGGCAGAAAGUGAGAAAGUUUUGUAGGCCAGGCUGGUAAUGAGGGACACAGAGUUACGGCGCUUAUCAUGGACAGUCAUGUUCUAAUUGUGUGACCUGGACCAGUUCCUAUGUGAUGGAUGAAGGCAGUCAAAUUUAGAUGGGCAGAGAGGAGGGGCAAGUCAGCAGGUGCAUUGGGAGAGUGUGACGAUCUACAAAGCUGAGGCAAAUCAUGACCCCAAUGGGGAAAGCAAGAUAGACAAGGAAAGCACGAUGGCAUGAUGUCAGGAAAGAAUCAAGGGAUAGAGUUUUAAUAAAUGUUGGAAAGCAGUUUUGAGGCAGGUGGAGCAUUGAUGGUAAGAGCAGAUAGAGAGAGAAUAUCCAGAUAACAUGAGCCUUGUCUGGGGUCUAAGACUGUCAGAAACUGCUGACUUUCCUAAUCCUCCAGCUGAGAUGCAUGGGAGAGUUGUAGGAGGUAGGAAAAAAAACAACUUAUGUCAUGAGAGACAGUUCUGUGGCAGAUGUUAAACUGGACACUGGGCAUCAUACUUCAUUUAAUUCUUUCCCAAACCAAAUAACGUGGAUAUUAUUGUCUCCUUUUUUCAAAGGUGGGAACCCAGGCCCAUAGAAAUAGGGAAACCUGGCCAAAUUCUCACAGAGACACAAAGUCCAGACUAGAACAUUCAUCUCUUUAGUCCCACUACUGUCCUACUGUGACUUCUUCAGUUCCUAUCCUUGAACAUUUUAUUUUGAGAUACUAUUAUGUUCAAAACUCUAUUUUGCACAUUGAGAAUACAGGACAUCAGGGGAUCCAAGAGCACCUUGCCUUCAAGGAGCCUACAAUGUAAUGGAAAAUAUUGCCAUAGUUGUUCCUCCAAGAGAAACAAUGACUUAUGCCAAAAGAAUUUUAAAAAAUUCGUGAUGUGAGGUCUGUUUUUACUGUAUUCUAGAUAAUGUUAUUUUCAAACCUGGUAUAAUCCUUUUGCCAAAAAUGAGAAGAGGGACCACUUUUACCAGUGAAUGUAGAAGCAUCUAUAUUUAAUCACCCUUUUGUUUUUGGAUCUUGCACUAACCCAUACAACCUAAAGCUGUAUCUGUUUCUCUUAUAAGCAACCUAGCUACAGGCAUUGUAUGUGGUUCUUUAAGAGCCUAUGAUUUUUUAUUAUCCCUUUGUGACAGUUUUCUCAGAGUUAUGCAAAUGGUAUGCCAAGUGUAGUAGACUGAAAUUUCUUCCAUUUUAUCUCUGUCCAAAUAGAAGUUGCCUCAUCUGCAUAUAACAGUUCCCUUUGCAACUCAGUCGUGGUAGAAAAUUGGAAUUCGUUUUUAUUUGCAUUUCCUGGGGAUACAGACAAGAGCAGAUGCCAAUAAUGGAUGUCAUAAUUUGCUGCCUUCUCUUUGCUGCCUAUAAAUCUUUGAAUAUUUUUCCUACAAUAGCAAGGGAAGAGAUUCAGCAAGCAUAAUGGGGAGAGAAGAGAUGUAAAUCUCAGCAGUGGUGGUGGAUUCCAGCUAUGAAUAUUUCAGAAACAAGACACUCUCUUUAAAUGAAACACUAAUGGUUUUUAAGAUGCUGAUGGGCCUGAUGUGCUUUUGAUUUCAUUUAAUAACCAAAGCUCCUGACUGCAUAACACUAGUUCCAGGUUGGUGGAUUCUAAAGAAAGUCUUUUCUCAUGUUCUGAUUUCAAAUUCUGGCCUUAUUGUAGUGUUAAAUCUUGAUUACCUACAUGCUACACCCGAGAUACACAGCUUUGCACAGUUCAAAAUUUAAGUUAUUUAUAUUUGGUAUUGAAAUGACACAUACAAAAAGUCUCUCCCUCUUCACACAUGCGCACACACACACACACACACACACACAUUUACACACACAGGCAUGCAAAUAUGCACACUCACCCAAAUUCAUCCCCAGAUACCUAGCCUUGAGGCUUUCCUUCUCUGAACUGUUUUUCAGUAGGUUGUAACUCAACUGAGUGAUGGUGAUUAUCUGAACAUCAAUAUGAAAGAGAGCGUUUUUACUCAAAUUUUAAGUCUUAAAUAUAGAGCUUUCAAAAUGUAGUGCUAUUGAUCAAAUGUCAAUUUUGUGUAUUUUCUUACAUCUUUUAUCUUGCAAGUAAUAAAUUAGGAUAAUCCAAAAUUAUCCAAUCUCCUUUUUUUCCUAACUCACUUUGGCUGUUAUUUUACCAUUUGCUUUAGAUGUAAAUCUUUACAUACUACAUUGUUUUGGAAAUUCUGGAGCCCCUGGCAAGACUACUUUCCUUACAUAGUUUUUCCUUUUUAACAUCUGCCAAAGUAUACAGCCUUACUAUAAGGUGUCUAUUAUUACUCUAGUGAGAUGUUUAAAUACCUUAAUUAGUGUAAAUGUUGUAAACUAACCCCAGUAUACCUCAUUAACUAGCUAUAUUCAGUCAUACUACUGCCAGGAAGAAUUGGCAGGGUAUAGCUU